rnacentral:tRNA from 1 species
GCAGGUAUGGCAGAAUUGGCAGACACGUAUGGUUCAGGUACAUAUGAAUGCAAAUUCAUGCAGGUUCAAGUCCUGCUCUCCGCACCA